rnacentral:ncRNA from 1 species
AAGGAGAGUCACUAAGAGGGAAUCCGGUGUAAAUCCGGAGCUGUACCCGCAGCUGUAAGUUCCGUUUAUAUUGUAUCGAUAUCUUUUUGCCACUGUCAUUUAAGGACGGGAAGGCAUUGAUACAAGGAAUGAGUCAGAAGACCUGCCAUAACACUA